GGGUUCAGCUUUACUCAACUAUCAUAGCAGUACUCGUGUAGACGUGUACAAGUUACGUGCUAAUCACGGUGCAACUUCAACAGCUGAGUUAUUCUUAUCAUUUUAAAGAAACGUCAAAAUCCUAAUUUGGCAACAUCAAUCUUUGUAUAUAGACUGACCUAGGAGGCUGCCGAUUGACUAAACUAGCAACACCAGUACGUGUUAGUGUUAAGUUGAAUCUUCGGAAGCUCAAUGGUGAGCACAUUAUUGACAUCACAUUAGCUCUGUGCUUGAUCUCAAUCUUAAAGACAUCCUAUAUAUAUAUAUAUAUAUAUAUAUAUAUAUAUAUAUAAAAUUCCCUUCCAGAGCGGUGUCUUGCUUUGAAAUUAAAGUGUGGACCUCCUUAUUUCGCUCACUCUCAAGAUGCAUUUCCACAUCUUAACCGUAUAAUGUCUAGAACAUAGUGUAUAGACCACUCCUGCAUAGUUUCAUCUAAUUUGGAGAUCAUUUGGGUACCGAAUUAGAUUAAAUAAAUAAAAAGAACAAAAGCUGUCCAAACAUAACUGUUCGUGUAAAUCACGAUUACGGAAGCUCAAAUGAUCUUCAAAUUGGAUGAAACUUUGCAUAAAUGAUCUACACACUAUGUUCUAGACAUUGUACGGUUAAGAUGUGGAAAUGUGACCUGAAAGUGAGCGAAAUAAGGAGGUCCACACUUUAAUUUCAAAGCGGGACACCGCUCUGGAAGGGAACUAUAUAUAUAUAUAUACACACACGGAUCCAUGACAUACAAGAUUAUAAUUAAAAUUAUAACAAGAAUAUCACAGAAUAUCAUCCAUUAGAUCUAAUAACAAUUAACAGUUGAGAUUAGUCAUAAAAACUAAAUCUUUUUUAUUUUCUUUUCUAAAUCAAUUAAUGAAAUAUAUCCAAAUGAAAAUUAAUGAUUACUAUUCUUCAUUUAGAAUAUAAUUAAGAGGAAAUAAUUUGUUUCCUAUUGGAGCUCAUUACUAGAGAGAAAAGAAAACAAAUUAAGUCUUUGAAGAAG
rnacentral:lncRNA from 1 species